rnacentral:rRNA from 1 species
GAUGAACGCUGGCGGCGUGCCUAAUACAUGCAAGUCGAGCGAACGGACGAGAAGCUUGCUUCUCUGAUGUUAGCGGCGGACGGGUGAGUAACACGUGGAUAACCUACCUAUAAGACUGGGAUAACUUCGGGAAACCGGAGCUAAUACCGGAUAAUAUUUUGAACCGCAUGGUUCAAAAGUGAAAGACGGUCUUGCUGUCACUUAUAGAUGGAUCCGCGCUGCAUUAGCUAGUUGGUAAGGUAACGACUUACCAAGGCAACGAUGCAUAGCCGACCUGAGAGGGUGAUCGGCCACACUGGAACUGAGACACGGUCCAGACUCCGACGGGAGGCAGCAGUAGGGAAUCUUCCGCAAUGGGCGAAAGCCUGACGGAGCAACGCCGCGUGAGUGAUGAAGGUCUUCGGAUCGUAAAACUCUGUUAUUAGGGAAGAACAUAUGUGUAAGUAACUGUGCACAUCUUGACGGUACCUAAUCAGAAAGCCACGGCUAACUACGUG